rnacentral:snoRNA from 1 species
UGCGAGGGUGAUGAGCUGCACUCUGGUGGAGCAACCGUGUCAGGUGACGUGGACUCUACUCAGAAUCUCCCUGAUGACAAAACUAAGUGCACAGGGGCCAUCUGACUCGCU